rnacentral:rRNA from 1 species
GGGUUGUGAGGUUAAGCGACUAAGCGUACACGGUGGAUGCCCUGGCAGUCAGAGGCGAUGAAGGACGUGCUAAUCUGCGAUAAGCGUCGGUAAGGUGAUAUGAACCGUUAUAACCGGCGAUUUCCGAAUGGGGAAACCCAGUGUGAUUCGUCACACUAUUAUUACGUGAAUACAUAGCGUAAUGAAGCGAACCGGGGGAACUGAAACAUCUAAGUACCCCGAGGAAAAGAAAUCAACCGAG